ACGACCGUAGUUUAAUGGUAGAAUUUGAGAUUGUGGAUCUCGAGACGCGAGUUCGAUUCUCGCCGGCCGUC
rnacentral:tRNA from 1 species